rnacentral:rRNA from 1 species
ACGCUGGCGGCAGGCUUAACACAUGCAAGUCGAACGGUAACAGGGAUUAGCUUGCUAAUCUGCUGACGAGUGGCGGACGGGUGAGUAAUGCUUGGGAAUCUGGCUUAUGGAGGGGGAUAACUACGGGAAACUGUAGCUAAUACCGCGUAAAAUCUUCGGAUUAAAGGGUGGGACUUUCGAGCCACCUGCCAUAAGAUGAGCCCAAGUGGGAUUAGGUAGUUGGUUAGGUAAAGGCUGACCAAGCCGACGAUCUCUAGCUGGUCUGAGAGGAUGACCAGCCACACUGGAACUGAGACACGGUCCAGACUCCUACGGGAGGCAGCAGUGGGGAAUAUUGCACAAUGGGGGGAACCCUGAUGCAGCCAUGCCGCGUGAAUGAAGAAGGCCUUCGGGUUGUAAAGUUCUUUCGGUGACGAGGAAGGUUGGUAGGUUAAUAGCCUAUCAAAUUGACGUUAAUCACAGAGGAAGCACCGGCUAACUCCGUGCCAGCAGCCGCGGUAAUACGGGGGGUGCGAGCGUUAAUCGGAAUAACUGGGCGUAAAGGGCACGCAGGCGGUGACUUAAGUGAGAUGUGAAAGCCCAGAGCUUAACUUGGGAAUUGCAUUUCAUACUGGGUCGCUAGAGUACUUUAGGGAGGGGUAGAAUUCCACGUGUAGCGGUGAAAUGCGUAGAGAUGUGGAGGAAUACCGAAGGCGAAGGCAGCCCCUUGGGAAUGUACUGACGCUCAUGUGCGAAAGCGUGGGGAGCAAACAGGAUUAGAUACCCUGGUAGUCCACGCUGUAAACGAUGUCGAUUUGGGGAUUGGGCUUUGAGCUUGGUGCCCGUAGCUAACGUGAUAAAUCGACCGCCUGGGGAGUACGGCCGCAAGGUUAAAACUCAAAUGAAUUGACGGGGGCCCGCACAAGCGG